rnacentral:lncRNA from 1 species
GAAACAUAUUUCUGGAGACUUUUGGCUGAUAACUUUCAUCUGUGACUCGUUUCAUUUCUGACUGAUGCAGGAUGCUUGUUGCUGGGCUACCUGGUUCAAGUUGAGGUAAUUUACAGGCCCACUGACAUCGCAUUGUUCACCACUGUGAAUACAUUCUUGGUCUCAGCACAUUAUGUCUACUUCCUUUGCAAGUGAAAUGAUGACUUGGACACCACAUGCAAUAUCUACAGCUUAGAAAGGGCAGUUUGUCACAGAACCAUAGAAUGGUUUGGAAAGGACCUAAACAUCAUCCAGCUCCAGCUCCCCUCACACUAGAGCAGGUUGCCAAGCCCCAUCCAACCUGGCCUUAAACACUGCCAGGGAUGGGGCAGCCACAGCUUCUCUGGGCACCCUGUGCCAGCGCCUCAGCACCCUCACAGGGAACAGCUUCUGCCUUAGAUCUAACCUGAACUUGCCCUGUUUCAGUCUGAACCCAUCACCCCUUGUCCUAUGGCUGCAGUCCCUGAUGAAGAGUCCCUCUCCAGCAUCCUUGUAGCCCCCUUCAGACACUGGAAGCUGCUCUGAGGUCUCCACGCAGCUUCUCUUCUCCAGGCUGAGCAGCCCCAGUGUUCUCAGCCUGUCUCCAUACAGGAGGUGCUGCAGCCCCUGAGCAUCCUCGUGGCCUCCUCUGGACUUGCUCCAGAAGCUCCAUGUCCUUCUUAUGUUGGGAACACCAGAACAUAAGCUUGGCUAAUGGCUGAUGAACAGGUAUUAACAGCAUCUACAGACCUAAAUGGGAUCUAACAAAAGCAAUUCUAGCAGCAAAAUAAAUACUGAUAGCAAUUUGUGUAAUAAAGGGAAAUUCAUCCAUCUCAAGCUGAUAGAGUUAAUAGCAAAUAUAUAAAUGGUAGAAUGAUGAACAUGCCCUUUGCAGCUCACUGCCCUUGAAGCUUAUUGUCCUUGAAGCUCAUCAGCAAGAGAUCAGCCCCUUGAAGGACAUUACAUAAAGGGGACUUUGUGUGAUCAAGAG